UACGGGGGGGGCAAGCGUUGUUCGGAAUUACUGGGCGUAAAGGGCUCGUAGGCGGCCAACUAAGUCGGACGUGAAAUCCCCAGGCUCAACCUGGGAACUGCGUCCGAUACUGGAUGGCUUGAAUUCGGGAGAGGGAUGCAGAAUUCCAGGUGUAGCGGUGAAAUGCGUAGAUAUCAGGAGGAACACCGGUGGCGAAGGCGGCACUCUGGGCCGGUACUGACGCUGAGGAGCGAAAGCGUGGGGAGCGAACAGG
rnacentral:rRNA from 1 species